rnacentral:rRNA from 1 species
GACGAACGCUGGCGGCGUGCUUAACACAUGCAAGUCGAACGGAAAGGCCCUGCUUGCAGGGUGCUCGAGUGGCGAACGGGUGAGUAACACGUGGGUGAUCUGCCCCUUACUUUGGGAUAAGCCUGGGAAACUGGGUCUAAUACUGGAUAGGACCAUGCUGUAGGUGGUGUGGUGGAAAGAUUAGUUUCGGUAAGAGAUGAGCUCGCGGCCUAUCAGCUUGUUGGUGGGGUAAUGGCCUACCAAGGCGUCGACGGGUAGCCGGCCUGAGAGGGUGGACGGCCACAUUGGGACUGAGAUACGGCCCAGACUCCUACGGGAGGCAGCAGUGGGGAAUAUUGCACAAUGGGCGCAAGCCUGAUGCAGCGACGCCGCGUGGGGGAUGACGGCCUUCGGGUUGUAAACUCCUUUCAGCCAUGACGAAGCCCUUGUGGUGACGGUAGUGGUAGAAGAAGCACCGGCUAACUACGUG